rnacentral:rRNA from 1 species
AGUUUGAUCCUGGCUCAGGAUGAACGCUAGCUACAGGCUUAACACAUGCAAGUCGAGGGGAAACGACAUCGAAAGCUUGCUUUUGAUGGGCGUCGACCGGCGCACGGGUGAGUAACGCGUAUCCAACCUGCCCACCACUUGGGGAUAACCUUGCGAAAGUAAGACUAAUACCCAAUGACGUCUCUAGAAGACAUCUGAAAGGGAUUAAAGAUUUAUCGGUGAUGGAUGGGGAUGCGUCUGAUUAGCUUGUUGGCGGGGUAACGGCCCACCAAGGCUACGAUCAGUAGGGGUUCUGAGAGGAAGGUCCCCCACAUUGGAACUGAGACACGGUCCAAACUCCUACGGGAGGCAGCAGUGAGGAAUAUUGGUCAAUGGACGAGAGUCUGAACCAGCCAAGUAGCGUGCAGGAUGACGGCCCUAUGGGUUGUAAACUGCUUUUAUAAGGGAAUAAAGUGAGUCUCGUGAGACUUUUUGCAUGUACCUUAUGAAUAAGGACCGGCUAAUUCCGUGCCAGCAGCCGCGGUAAUACGGAAGGUCCGGGCGUUAUCCGGAUUUAUUGGGUUUAAAGGGAGCGUAGGCCGGAGAUUAAGCGUGUUGUGAAAUGUAGAUGCUCAACAUCUGCACUGCAGCGCGAACUGGUUUCCUUGAGUACGCACAAAGUGGGCGGAAUUCGUGGUGUAGCGGUGAAAUGCUUAGAUAUCACGAAGAACUCCGAUUGCGAAGGCAGCUCACUGGAGCGCAACUGACGCUGAAGCUCGAAAGUGCGGGUAUCGAACAGGAUUAGAUACCCUGGUAGUCCGCACGGUAAACGAUGGAUGCCCGCUGUUGGUCUGAAUAGGUCAGCGGCCAAGCGAAAGCAUUAAGCAUCCCACCUGGGGAGUACGCCGGCAACGGUGAAACUCAAAGGAAUUGACGGAAGGGC